rnacentral:misc_RNA from 1 species
GGAAUAUUGGACAAUGGUCGGAAGACUGAUCCAGCCAUGCCGCGUGCAGGAUGAAGGUCCUAUGGAUUGUAAACUGCUUUUGUAAGGGAAGAAUAAGGAGUACGUGUACUUUGAUGACGGUACCUUACGAAUAAGCAUCGGCUAACUCCGUGCCAGCAGCCGCGGUAAUACGGAGGAUGCGAGCGUUAUCCGGAAUCAUUGGGUUUAAAGGGUCCGUAGGCGGGCUGAUAAGUCAGAGGUGAAAGCGCUUAGCUCAACUAAGCAACUGCCUUUGAAACUGUCAGUCUUGAAUGAUUGUGAAGUAGUUGGAAUGUGUAGUGUAGCGGUGAAAUGCUUAGAUAUUACACAGAACACCGAUAGCGAAGGCAUAUUACUAACAAUUUAUUGACGCUGAUGGACGAAAGCGUGGGAAGCGAACAGGA